rnacentral:rRNA from 1 species
UACGUAGGGGGCAAGCGUUGUUCGGAUUUACUGGGCGUAAAGGGCGCGUAGGCGGCGUGACAAGUCACUUGUGAAAUCUCCGGGCUUAACUCGGAACGGCCAAGUGAUACUGUCACGCUAGAGUGCAGAAGGGGCAACUGGAAUUCUUGGUGUAGCGGUGAAAUGCGUAGAUAUCAAGAGGAACACCAGAGGCGAAGGCGAGUUGCUGGGCUGACACUGACGCUGAGGCGCGAAAGCCAGGGGAGCGAACGGG